ACCGGCGAAGCCCUCCAUUGGACGAGCCAUGCUGAGGGAUCCCUCUGGGAGCCAACCAAAGGCGCGAAUCUGGAGCCGAAGAGGCAGGAUCGCCAAGUGGACCCGUUUUGGAGGUCACAGCUCCUCUGGGCGCGGCUUAGUGGCGGAGCUUGCCUUGAGGGGAGGGUCUUCCACUUGUCGCCAGCGUGAACUCUGGUGCCCCGUGAGUGUUCGGAAUGGACCCCCAAAUCUGCCCCCGCCAGGUCGCACUCGACUCUGUUUCGACGACUUUUUUUGUAUCACUUUCUCUUCCUUUUUGCCUUGGGGUCCCUUUGGUCCCUCCCUUUCUCUUCGCUCUCAGAAAUCCGAGUUUCGCAGAUGCUUAGCUCAGAGGAGAAAAUUGUGUGCGGAAUUAAGUCCUUCCUUCUGUUAGGCAGUUGGAUGGGAGGGACCAAAAAUCACUUGGUGUCCUGACAAGAUUUGUUACAGUUGCUAAGAUCGUCAGCUCUAAUGCUUUGAGGGAGAUAACUUCCUGCAAACCCAGAACUUUCGGAUUUCUUCCGAGCUCGAAGCUUCUUCACUUACCACACCAGAGGAAACCUUGCACGUGUGCAUUCAACAUGUCCAAGCUUAUGUCCACAUCCUUCACUUCCUGCAAAUAGUGAUGUCUAAUCAGCACAGCUCUGUCUGCCCCCUGAUCUGGGCACACAUGGUCCCCUGAUCUCAUGGACUCCUUACACUUUGCAAUUGGAGGAAGAUCCUUCCAGAUCACGCCACAUGAAGAUGGAGGCAGAUGUUGGACUGAUGCUUCUACAAGCCAGAGAACUCCAAGGUGGCCAGCAUAUCAUCAGAAGCUAUGGGAGAGGCAUGAAACAUCUUUCCCUCACUGCCCUCAGAAGGAACAGGUGGUGCUGACACCUUGAUCUCGGAUUCUAGCCUCCAAAACUUUAACAAUUUACACUAGUUCUAAAACUCAUCUCAACCUGGAACUCACAGGGUAUGCCUUUGUGGAACAUGAGGAAAUUCUGCCAUUUGACUCCACUGCAUGUAUAAGAAAAAGACCUUCAACUUUUCAAACAGACCUUAUAUACAUACUGGAUGAGUGAAAACAUGUACUGAGAACUACCUACCAUCCUUCAGACACUCUUCUUGGCAUUGUGGAUACAAAGCUAAUCUUGACCCUCGGCAGUCAAGCUGGAAUUGAGAAGCUUGAUGUGGAGAUAGCCUAAAAGUGAAAGAAGAAGUAUUCAAGGAGGAAAGAAGUAGAGGAAGAAACAACACAUCAUUUCAAUCUGCAAAAGGUAUAGGAAAGACGAAGAAUACAAGCCCUAGAAACUGGUUUGAACUCCAGCAGUGAUUUCAACAAAAGAACAAAGUGACCAAAAUAACAAAAGACCAGUGAUGUACUUUCAUCUUCUACGGAACUAACAGAACCUGGAGAACGAAAACCUUCACAUCAAAUUGGAUUCAUGAGCUGUAUACACUGGGCGAUGAUGACAGCACAAGAAAUAAUUUCAACUAACUUGUAAGAAAUCAAGUCAAAUUUAAUUUCUACAAUUAAAUGGACUUUUUUUUCUUCUUAAACACUCAACUACUUAACUGAAUGGUCAGCUAACCACUGAAUUAACUAUAGAAAAAUAUUUUUUUAAUUAACCAAGUUGUUAAUUGAUUCCCACAUGUCCCAUCAGCAAGUCCCCUUUCUGGCCCACAGCAGCCUUUUCAACACACUAAUAGGCAUUACAAUCAGACCUACUGGAUAAGAAAAACUACCUUUGAUGUUCUGUCUACGCUAAAAAAAAAAACAAAAAAAAAAACUUUGAACUAUUUAAUUAACCUGUAAAUUUCUGAGUCUGGGAAAUUUCAUUUACUCUUAUAACAAAUGUGAAUGCAGAUAAAGUCACUUCAAGAGAUAAACUGAUAGCAGUUUUAUGAAAUAAGUAGUAGGGUUCUAAGUGUUUUAGAAGAAUCUAAUGUAAAAUAAAAAUUCAGAGAAGAAAAACUCUGAUUCAGACAGCUUUUACUAUUUGGAAACCCAUAUAAUGACCUAUCUCAUUUGGUAAUUCCAAAAAUUAGGUUUCAAAAUACCAUACAUCACCCAUAUUAUAAUGCCACUUAUAUUCCAAAGUACUUAAAUAUUUGGAAAAUUUUUUUGUACCUGCAAUGAAUACAAAUAGGCACAUCUUCAUGUUCUUGGUAUUUCCUCAUUAAGCUUAUCAUGUCCAGAAUGGAAUCAAACGAUGAGGGAACAUCAUGAUCUGGCCAGUUCACGUAAUGAAACUGAUACAGCCUACGAGAUUCCUUCAAGAAAAAACAGAAAUUCAACAAUUAUAAAAAGACAUUACAAAUUUUAAAGCAUACAGAAAAGCUGCUCAUCUGACUUUACCGUCAUUUCUGAAGUUUUUAUGUGGUAUUUAACACUGCCUUAAAAAAGUAAAUGAUAGGCUAUAUUUAUUGACUAUCAUACAUCAAGUCUUAAUCUAAGGGCUUCACAUGUAACAAUUUAUUUAUUCCCCAUGUAAUUUUAUGAGGAAGGUACUGUUAAUAGUAUCCACGAUUUAUAGGUAAGGAAACUAAGAAAGAUUACAUAACGUGCCUAAUGUUUCACAGCAAGUGACAAAUGUAGGAUCUGAACUCAGGCACUCUUAUCUCCAGAGCAUGCAUGUUAACUCUAACAUUAUGUAUAUUAUUUGGUAAUCCACAGUAAAGGGAUGAGCAAUAUACCAUAAGCACAGUGUUUGAAUCUAUUGUAAUUAGAAAACUAAUAGGAUAUUUAAACUGAAAAAGAAAAUUAGAAACAAACUUGUCCAAUGCCAAACCCACUUCCUUAUUUUAGAUGAGUGGUUCUCAAAGUAUGGAGUGCUGGAACCAUGUCUACUUGUAAAAAGGAAGGUAGGCUGUGGAAGUGUGUUUCAAAUGUACCAGUUGAGGAACAACUGUGCACUUGAUGGCCAUGCUUAAUUGUUCAUAAUGGCUUGAAAAAUUAAGAUAAUAAAAAUACAGAGAUCUUGGAAGAAGCUGAUAGCAUUUUCUAAUGUCCAUCAAAUUUUUGAUUUCCUAGAAAAAUUAUCAUUUUUUUUUUAACGUUUAUUUAUUUAUUUUGAGACAGAGGGAGAGAGAGAAUCCCAAGCAGGCUCCACAUUGUCAGUGCAGAACCCAAUGCAGGGGCUCAUUCUUAUGAACUGGAAGAUCAUGAUCUGAGCCCAAAUCAAGAGGCGAAUGCUUAACUGACUCAGCCACCCAGCCGCCCCAAGCAAUUAUCAUUUUAUAUAGUUCUGAAACACGAAAGUCAAGGGCCUCAAGUGAAAGCAAUAUAUAUCAAAAUGAAGAUUUAGCUUUGAUGGUGGUUCGUCUAUGUCUAAAAAGUUGUAAACUAGCAAAAGUGGGUAAAUAAUUUGGAAAGAAUGCUAUAAUCUGCUUAAUGUAAUAGAGAAAAAAAUAUUUAUGGCAAAUAGAUACAAUAAAUUUAAUUUAGGGAAAAUUGUUUUAAGUAAGUCAAGAUUUAUAUUACUUUAAUUUGAUAAGCUCAAGGCUCAAGACACUAAAUAAAAAUUACACUUUGAUUUUCUUCACUAUUUUACAUAAGGAAAUUUGCUAAUUAUUUUAGUUAACUAUGUAAGACCAGAUAGCAUGCAAUUUAUAUACCUUCUCUUCAAAAAUUUCCUUAGAAACGGUCUCUAAAUGGAAAAUACUUACAUUUUGAAAUUCAAGUAAGAGUGUCCUAAUAAAGUAGUCUGUUCUUGCUUGUUCAGCUUCCUAAAUACAGGAAAAGUGAGUCAGUGAGAACAUUGAAACCAAAACAUCCACACACCAAAACAAACAAAAACCACUUAUUUAAAGUCUACAAUAUAAAAUUAACCUUUGAAAUUCCAGAUAUAUCUAGUAAUUACAAAAACAACCAUUCUAAAAGUCACUGAUUUGUCUACUCAACUUUGCUGUUCUGAUGGGCAAACAGGUAAAUUAAUGGGCAAGGCAAUAUUCUAGUAAAUCUUUAUUUACAAAACAGGCAGUGGACUAGACUGACCUAUGCAUAGCGUGCCCACGUCUGGUCUAAGUGGUUACAUGCAGCGACAUGCAACCGAGUCCCUCCUGGCUAGUCCUCCGUGUCCCAACACUUUACCCUCUUUCUCAUCCCCAAAUCAAAAGUGCUCCUGAUACUGUCUUUUCUCAGUCUCAAAAACUGAUUGUCAAAAAGUCAAGUCACGUACUAUGGUUAUUUUCACCAGCUUGCUUUCUAAUUACAAACUUGAUUUUUAUUUACAUCAGUAACAACAAGUCCUGAGUUGCUGGAAACAACCACAAGACAUACAAAUUACUUUCCAUCUGAAAUCUUGAAAGAAGAAAUUUGCUUCUUCAGUAUGGAUCAAUCCCAAUAUUGACAAAUCAAACCAGCUAUUGCUAAUCAAAUCAAACUUAUUCAAAAGAUGAUUAAAUUAUCAUUUCAUUCACUCUGAAAAAUCAUCCAAAAAAGGUCAUAGUUUUCCAAAUUAUAAUCCAUUUCUUUACUCAUUAUAGUAAAGUCUUUUAAUUUUUAUUUAUUUAUUUUUGAGAAAGAGCAAGAGAGUGAGAGAAAAUAUGCAUGCGCGAGCAGGGGAGGGGCAGAGAGAGGAAGAGAGAGAAUCCCAAACAGGCUCCAUGCUGACACUGCAGAGCCCAACGUGGAGCUCAAACAUACUAACUGUGAGGUCAUGACCUGAGCCAAAAUCAGGAGAAGGAUGUUUAACUAACUGAGACCCUCCUCUACUCAUUAUUUUAAAUGUUGUUUACUAUUCUUGAUCCCCAACUCUUCAAAAAUUUCAACUCAUUUAGCUGUUGAAUGUUAAGCACUAUACAUUUUCACUUGAAUUGUAACAUUUAGUACAGAUAUCUUAUUGUAUUCAAACUUACAAAUGUUCAACACAACUACAUUGCACAGAAAAUAGAUUUCCUGAACAGUUCAGAGGCAUAAUAUUGUAGAAUACUUUACAGAUUGGUGAGAGGGGAGGUGUUCUCUCACAGAAAUACAUAAUGUGGUAUGUAUUGGUUUUUAUCCAUUCCAAAUAAUAUGACAUGCAGUAGGAUUUAAAAUUAUAUUUAAUCCACAAACAGUUAAUUCUAACCAGGACUUAAGAAUACUGGCUGCUUAUUAAAUCCAGGCAGUUCAACUAUGUGUUAUAGUUAACAUUACAAAAAUCGCAUUGUAUUUAUAAAGCAGACUGUCCACACACCUCAAGUCCUUUCUACAGCAACCUAGAAAGCAAUAAACUUUGUAUGGAAUUUAAAAGUCAUUAAGUAGAAAUAAUUCAUAAAACCAUGGACUUCUUGAACUCACCAGUGAAAAUAAAAUCACAGAAAUUAUAUUUUACUUAACUAUGGAAAACAUAGUUACAAACCAGCAAUUCUCAGUUGGAGAAUGUAACAGUUAAUUCCAUGUGUCAAUGUGGCUGGGUCACAGAGCGCCUAGAUGUUUGGUCAAACAUUAUUCCUUGUGUUCCUGUAAAAGUGUCUUUGGGUGAGAUUAACAUUUAAAUCAGUGGACUCUGAGUAAAGCAGACUGCCCUCUAGAGUAUGUAUGGGUGGCCCUCCAUCCAUUUAGGGCCUGAACAGAACAAAAAGACCAACCUCGCCCGAGUGAAAUUCUCCACUAGCCUACUUUCAUGGGCAAGGAUGGCUCUUCAGUUCUACAGCAGACUGUCUUUACACUAGAACUGAGUAUCAGCUCUUCUGGGUCUCCGCCUUGCCUACCUUUUAGCUCUCUUGGCCUCCAGACUAGAUCUAAAGCACAACUCUCCUGAGUCUGCAGCCUGGCUGACCACCCUACAGAUUUUGGACUUGCCAGCUUCCAUGAUCCUGUGAGCCAGUUUCAUAUAAUAAAUCUUUUUCUCGUAUAUAUGCAUAUCCUACUGGUUCUAUUUCUCUGGGAAACCCUAACCAAUACAGGGAAGUUAUUUAAUUCUCAUCUAUGUUCAGUCAUGGUCUUUGAGUAUGAGUAAAUAAGACAACAUAUUUCUUUCAAGUGAUUAAGAAAGAUGCCAUUGGGUGUAACCAAAAAGCAAAUUGUUGGUUCUAUUCUAAAGUUCACGUAUAUUUUACUUCCUUUUUAAAAAAUGUUUCCCUUCAUUCUUUUUCCUUUAAAUUCAUUUACUUAGAUUUCUGCUGUGUUUUAGAACUUAAAUUUAUUAACUCAUUUCCAGAGUUAACAUAUUAGGUAUAUGCUUUAAGUUUCAUAAUAAAUUAUCUGCCAUAUAGGAUCAAUCUUUCCUUUUAGGAUAGCAGUUCUCAAACCCAUCUUUGUAUAUAAUUAUAACAAUUCUGGAUAGCAUAACGAACCUAUGAAAGAUUAUCACACAAAACUAUACUUCAGUCAUCAAGGAUCCUUCCCAUUUCAGUUUGAAACUACUUUACACCAAUUUUUCUUUUUUCUCUUUAAGAUCUUACUUUUAAUCUCUACACCCAACAUGGGGCUUGAACUCACAAGCCUGAGAUUAAGACAUGGUUCACUGACUGAGCCAGCCAGUUGCCCCACCUUUAUACCAGUAUUCAAAUAGAGCACUCAAGGGGUGCCUGGGUGGCUCAGUCACUUAAGCGUCCAACUCUUAGUUUUGGCUAGGGUCAUGGUCUCCUGGUUGGUGAGUUCAAGCCCUACAUCGGGCUCUGUGCUGACCAUGUGGAGUCUACUUGGGCUUCUCUCUCUCUCCCUCUCUCUGCCCCUCCCACACCCUCUCCCUCUCAAAGUAAAUAAAUGAACUGAAAAGUUAAAAAAAAAAAUAGAUCACUCAAAGGACAGUUAAGUUACUGUUUACUUUUUUUAUUAAUGUUCAUUUUUGAGAGAGAGAGAGAGAGAGAGAGAGAGAGAGACAAAGAGAGCAGGGGAGGGGCAGAGAUGGAGACACAGAAUCCAAAAAAGGCUCCAAACUCUGAGCUAUGAGCGCAGAGCCCGACAAAGGGCUUCAACCCAUGAACCGUGAGAUCAUGACCUGAUAAGAAGUCAGAUGCUUAACUGACUGAGCCACCCAGGUGCCCCUGUUUACUCUUACAUAUGUAACACUUAUCAUCAGCUUAUAUACAAGACUAACACUAAAUUAACAUAAUAAGUUACUAGGAAAUUACACAUUUAUGAAGUCAUUUUCAAAGUUAAAUUUAAAGCUGUAUAAAAACAAACAUUAUUAUUAACAUUUAUUAUAAUUAAGUACAGAUUUAUGUGGAAAUACUGAAUGCUUGGCUUAUGUAAAACUAGGUUCAUUCCAUAUUAUAUUCUUCAGUCUAGCAUCCCAAAUUUCUGAUUAAAUAAUAUGUAUAUAAAUAGGUACUUACACAAGAAAUUUUAAAUGGUGCAAAUGUUAUAGGUUCUUCUCCAUACAAAGGCCAAUAGCGUUCACAUUUUUUCUGUUAUUCGAACAAAAAGAAGUAAGUUAAUCCAUAUGACAGAAUUUUUCUUGAACUUUUACAAAUAUUUUGUGCCCGAUUAUUCAGCUUCUUGCCCUUCCCAGAAAACACAGAAACUGACAUCAGAUUAAAAAAAAGUUUACUUUAACUCAUGUACCAUAUUAGUAUAAGGAAAAUUCAAAUCACCACAUAAUUUGUUUUCUAAGUUUGAUGUAUGUGUCAUAAUUAUAGAAGACCACACUUAAGUUUUACUUAAUAUUUAUUCUCUGUAAAUAUAUUAGCACCUCCAACAUUGAAGUCUUUGGAAUUGAUGCUGGAGGGGAUCACAAUGGUUUUAAAACUAAUUUCACUUGGACACAGUAUAAAAAACACCAAUGUUGAAAACUUCAUAUUAAGAAUUUUGUUCUCUUUCCUUCUGAAGAUAGUAUGAACAAAAACAAAAAAAUGUAGUGGUAUUAUCUGACAGAAAUCAGAAUAUUCAAGCUAUAACCUGAUGAUAAUUAAUAAAAAUUAUUUUAUUGAACUCA